rnacentral:lncRNA from 1 species
UGCCACCGACAUGGGCCUGGUUGUGAAGGCCGGACUCUAUCGUCCAAGCCCAUCACAGCCCAGAAAGCCCAUAUCAGCACAGGACCGGCCCAUGUCGGACUCCCUUUGCCCUUAGGUCUUCGGACUCCACCUCUGCUGCGGCGGUGGCAGCGAGGCGAAUCCGGCGACGGCGCGAAUUCCGGCGAGGUAUUCGCCGCGUUGCCAUGGGGAAGAUGCUGGAUCCGAAGCGUCUCAUGUCUGCGCGACAGGAGCGGCAUCGCCGUCGGCGGCGACGGCAACUCCGACCCCGCAGGCUCAUUCUGUCACCACGUUGCAGAUUCUGAAGGCGCCAAAAGAACAAGAUAUUCAGUGCCUAGCCUUCCAGAGGAAAUCUGGUGCCAUAUACACUCCCUAAUGUCAUUCAAAGAUGCUGCUCGUGCAGCAUGCGUGUCUCGUGCUUUUCGUCAUUCCUGGCGAUGCCAUCCCAAUCUUAUAUGUUGUAUUGGAAUACUGGGCUCGGAUUUCAUCAACAAAUUUGACCGCAUUAUGAAAAAUCACUCAGGAAUUGGCAUCAAGUCGGUAAAGUUUCAAUAUAAUAGUUUUUACAAUACUAGAAGGAGCACUAGCAUCAGCCAUCAUUUCGAUAGUUGGCAUCAGAUUGCUAUUACACCGUGGAUCGAAGAACUCACCAUUAGCCUAUCUCUAUCUUCAUUCAAUAUGGAGUACAGCUUCCCAUGCUCACUUCUAGCUGAUGGGAGAGCAAGCUCAAUGCGGCAUCUUUAUCUUGGCAAUUGUGGAUUCCAUCCCACAAUCAACCUUGACUUGAGAAACCUGACAAGGCUGCAUCUGAUUAAUGUACAUAUUACAGGAGAUGAGUUAGGGUGCCUUCUCUCAAAUUCUCAUUGUUUGGAGCAGUUAGAACUUAUGUAUUGCAAUGGAAUAAUUUGUCUGAAGAUACCUUCCCUGUUGCAGUGCCUCAGUCACCUAGAAGUGUUUGAUUGCAGAAUUCUUCAAGUACAACUCUUGCUUGGCGAAUCGUUGCGAAUGAAGAGACUAUCCUUGCACUACCCCGAUGCUAUGUAUUAUGCUCAUGCAAAGCUUCCAUCCAAUGCGCCAAAUCUUGAAACUCUCGCCCUCGAAUGCUCGACUGACAAGAUGGUUGAUACACCAAUAUUGCCUAGCAAAUUCUUCCAUCUCAAGUGCUUGACCAUUGAUCAUACCAUUAUCUCAUCUUCCCCAGCUUAUAAUUAUCUUUACCUGGUUUAUUUUCUCGACGCUUGCCCUUCCUUGGAGACUUUCCUUUUGGGUAUAUCGCAGAACCACAUGGAGCAUGACUCGAUUAUUGGAGAUUCCUCACAUAUGAGGCAAAUGCCAGGACACCGUCAUGACAACCUCCGGAGUGUGGAGAUCACCGGUUUCUACUCUGCAAAGAGCUUGAUCGAGCUAACAUGUUAUAUUCUUGACAAUACAGUUGCACUCAAGUACCUUACACUGGAUACAACUCGUGGUUUUUUCAGCUGUUCUACAGGUGAACACGACAGAUGCUUUCCUAUGGACAAAAUCAUGAUAACGGAAGCCAACAGGGCAGUCCUGGCUAUCCAAAACAUACAUCGAGCGAAAAGUUCCUUCCACGAGGCGGCGCUGGCGGUUGCGGACGGUGACGGCGCGGCCCUCGGCGAGGACGUGGGGGAGGUAGGCGUUCUCGACGAGGUGGUGGAAGACGGUUCGAUUGAUUCAGCGGCUAAAAGAAAGGGAUCACUCUGUCAACAAGUUGCAAAUUCUGAAGGCAACAAAAAAACAAGAUAUUCAGGGCUAGACCUUCCAGAGGAAAUCUGGUGCCAUAUACACUCCCUAAUGGCAUUCAAAGAUGCCGCCCGUGCUACAUGUGUGUCUCGUGCUUUUCAUCGUUCCUGGCAAUGCCAUCCCAAUCUUAUAUUUUGUAUUGGAAUACUGGGCUCGGAUUUCAUCAACAAAUUUGAUCGCAUUGUGAAAAACCACUCAGGCAUUGGCAUCAAGUCGGUAAACUUUGAAUAUGAUAGUUCUUACAAUACUAGAAGGAGCACUAGCAUCAGCCAUCAUUUUGAUAGUUGGCUUCAUAUUGCUAUUACACCAUGGAUCGAAAAACUCUCCCUUAGGCUAUCUCAUUAUUCAUAAAAUGUGGAGUACAACUUACCAUGCACAAUUCUGUCUGAUGGGAGAGCAAGCUCAAUGCGACAUCUUUAUCUUGGCAGUUGUAGCUUCCAUCCCACAAUCAACCUUGACUUGAGAAGCCUGAUGAAGUUGCAUCUGUUUAAUGUCCAUAUUACAGGAGAUGAGUUAGGGUGCCUUCUCUUCAGUUGUUAUGCUUUGGAGUGGUUGGAACUUGAGCAUUGUGAUGAAAUAGUUUGCAUGAAGGUACCUUGUCAGUUGCAACGCCUCAAUCACCUGAAAGUGUUUGAAUGCAGAAUGCUGCAAGUAAUAGAGAAUAAGGCUCCAAAUAUUUGCAGUUUUGAUUUUGGAGGUAAACACGUACAACUCUUGCUUGGUGAAUCGUUGCAGAUGAAGACACUAUCUUUGCAAUACUAUUGCAACGCUGUCUAUUAUGCUCGUGUAGAGUCUAUACCCAAUGUGCCAAAUCUUGAAACUCUCACCAUUUGCUCGUAUCACGAGAUGGUUAACACACCAAUGUUGCCUAGCAAAUUCCUCCAUCUCAAGUGUUUGACUAUCGAUCUUGCUGAAGUUUCCCAUGCAUAUGAUUAUUUCUCUCUAGUUUCUUUUCUUGAUGCUUCUCCUUUCUUGGAGACUUUACUUCUGGGUGUAAGAUAAUUUUCAUUCUGCAAAGUUAUCUAGUGUAUAUGGUAGUAACCAUCAAUUAAAGUAUAUUUGGCUUUUCAUCUCCAGAUACCAAAGGACAGCAUGGAGGAUGACUCAAUUUUUGGAGAUUCCUCAAAUAUGAGGCAGAUGCAAGAAUAUCGUCAUGACAACCUCCAGAGUGUGGUGAUCACUUGUUUCUGCUCCGCGAAGAGCUUGAUCGAGCUAACAUGUUGUAUUCUUGACUGUACAACGUCACUUGAGUACCUUACACUGGAUACUACUCGUGGUGUUUAUAGCUGUUCUACAGGUAAACACAGCCAAUGCUUUCCUAUGGACAAGGCCAUGAUCCCUAAAGCUAACAGGGCUAUGUUGGCUAUCGAAACAUACAUUGAACGAAAAGUUCCUUCCACAGUUAAGUUAAAUGUUGUGAAACCUUGCCCCCGUUGCCAUAUAAUUGAAUCUUAGUUGUAAUUCUUUUUU